GAUGAACGCUGACAGAAUGCUUAACACAUGCAAGUCUACUUGAUUCUACUUCGGUAGUUGAUGGUGGCGGACGGGUGAGUAACGCGUAAAGAAUCUGCCCUUUAGUUUGGGAUAACCUUUGGAAACGAAGGCUAAUACCGGAUAUUAUGGAGACGUCGCAUGACGACUCCAUGAAAGCUAUAUGCUCUAGAGGAGGACUUUGCGUCCCAUUAGUUAGUCGGUGAGGUAAUGGCUCACCAAGACCGCGAUUGGAAGCCGGCCUGAGAGGGUGAUCGGCCACAAGGGAACUGAGACACGGUCCUUACUCCUACGGGAGGCAGCAGUGGGGAAUAUUGGACAAUGGGCCACAAGCCUGAUCCAGCAAUUCUGUGUGCACGAUGAAGGUCUUCGGAUUGUAAAGUGCUUUCAGUAGGGAAGAAAAAAAUGACGGUACCUACAGAAGAAGCGACGGCUAAAUAUGUGCCAGCAGCCGCCGUAA
rnacentral:rRNA from 1 species